rnacentral:rRNA from 1 species
GGACGGAUGGGAGCUUGCUCCCUGAAGUCAGCGGCGGACGGGUGAGUAACACGUGGGCAACCUGCCUGUAAGACUGGGAUAACUUCGGGAAACCGGAGCUAAUACCGGAUAAUUCUUUCCCUCACAUGAGGGAAAGCUGAAAGAUGGUUUCGGCUAUCACUUACAGAUGGGCCCGCGGCGCAUUAGCUAGUUGGUGAGGUAACGGCUCACCAAGGCAACGAUGCGUAGCCGACCUGAGAGGGUGAUCGGCCACACUGGGACUGAGACACGGCCCAGACUCCUACGGGAGGCAGCAGUAGGGAAUCUUCCGCAAUGGACGAAAGUCUGACGGAGCAACGCCGCGUGAGUGAUGAAGGUUUUCGGAUCGUAAAACUCUGUUGUUAGGGAAGAACAAGUACCGGAGUAACUGCCGGUACCUUGACGGUACCUAACCAGAAAGCCACGGCUAACUACGUGCCAGCAGCCGCGGUAAUACGUAGGUGGCAAGCGUUGUCCGGAAUUAUUGGGCGUAAAGCGCGCGCAGGCGGUUCCUUAAGUCUGAUGUGAAAGCCCCCGGCUCAACCGGGGAGGGUCAUUGGAAACUGGGGAACUUGAGUGCAGAAGAGAAGAGUGGAAUUCCACGUGUAGCGGUGAAAUGCGCAGAUAUCAGAAGGGAACAA